rnacentral:rRNA from 1 species
CCUACGGGUGGCAGCAGUGAGGAAUAUUGGUCAAUGGACGAGAGUCUGAACCAGCCAAGUAGCGUGAAGGAUGACUGCCCUAUGGGUUGUAAACUUCUUUUAUAUGGGAAUAAAAUGUUCCACGUGUGGGAUUUUGUAUGUACCAUAUGAAUAAGGAUCGGCUAACUCCGUGCCAGCAGCCGCGGUAAUACGGAGGAUCCGAGCGUUAUCCGGAUUUAUUGGGUUUAAAGGGAGCGUAGGUGGAUUGUUAAGUCAGUUGUGAAAGUUUGCGGCUCAACCGUAAAAUUGCAGUUGAAACUGGCAGUCUUGAGUACAGAUGAGGUAGGCGGAAUUCGUGGUGUAGCGGUGAAAUGCUUAGAUAUCACGAAGAACUCCGAUUGCGAAGGCAGUUCACUGAACUGCAACUGACACCGAGGCUCGAAAGUGUGGGUAUCAAACAGGAUUAGAUACCCUAGUAGUC